UACAGAGGGUGCGAGCGUUAAUCGGAAUUACUGGGCGUAAAGCGUGCGUAGACGGCUAUUUAAGUCGGGUGUGAAAGCCCCGGGCUCAACCUGGGAAUUGCAUUCGAGACUGAGUAGCUAGGGUGCGGUAGAGGGAAGCGGAAUUUCCGGUGUAGCGGUGAAAUGCGUAGAUAAUCGGAAGGAACAUCAGUGGCGAAAGCGGCUUCCUGGACCAGCACCGACGUCAGGCACGAAAGCGUGGGGAGCAAACAGG
rnacentral:rRNA from 1 species